GGCUUUUUUCGAAAAAUGUAUUUAUAAAACUGAUCUUGAAAGUUGAAAAAAUACUUCUGAAAAAAUAUAACAUGAUAUUUAAAGCAAAAGAUGCUGGAGUCAAUCGAAAAAGGAAACCUUGACUUUGUAUUUAUAUUGCCAAGUUUGUAUGGGCAAAACAAACAACCAACAAGGCUACAAAACGUCUAUACAACACCAACAUCGUAAGAAAUAUGAAACUAUUGUUGACGAAACAGGAUUACAACUCACUCAGGUAAUGUAGCCUUCAUUUUUUAAACUUGUAAGCUGCUUGCAGAAUGUUAUCGAGCCACAGCCAUAGUUCAUAUUUUUCCGUACGAAUCAAUAACAUUUGACGUUCGCUGUGAUUUUUGACCUGUUGUUUUCUUU
rnacentral:lncRNA from 1 species